rnacentral:rRNA from 1 species
GACGAACGCUGGCGGCGUGCCUAAUACAUGCAAGUUGAGCGCUGAAGGUUGGUACUUGUACCAACUGGUUGAGCAGCGAACGGGUGAGUAACGCGUGGGGAAUCUGCCUUUGAGCGGGGGACAACAUUUGGAAACGAAUGCUAAUACCGCAUAAAAACUUUAAACACAAGUUUUAAGUUUGAAAGAUGCAAUUGCAUCACUCAAAGAUGAUCCCGCGUUGUAUUAGCUAGUUGGUGGGGUAAAGGCUCACCAAGGCGAUGAUACAUAGCCGACCUGAGAGGGUGAUCGGCCGCAUUGGGACUGAGACACGGCCCAAACUCCUACGGGAGGCAGCAGUAGGGAGUCUUCGGCAAUGGACGAAAGUCUGACCGAGCAACGCCGCGUGAGUGAAGAAGGUUGUCGGAUCGUAAAACUCUGUUGGUAGAGAAGAACGUUGGUGAGAGUGGAAAGCUCAUCAAGGGACGGUAACUACCCAGAAAGGGACGGCUAACUACGUG